AGAGUGACAGCUACUGAAUCUAUAUGUUUCUUAAUAAUUAAUUAUUAAAACAAAAUAAAGAUAAGGUCAGGGAAAAUAAUGAUAUUACCUUUCUAUAGUGUUGUCAAAAGUUGGUGCCAGAAGACUCGGUAAGGCCAAAAACGCAAACGUUAGUCAUCUUUAUCAGGCGUAAAGGGUUUGUAGGCGGCCUUAAUAGCUUUUUAAAUAUUUAUUAUUUAAACAAAAGAAAAUUUACUUUCAAAUACAAUAUACAUACAAUAUAUACAAUAUAUAAACAAUAUAUAUACAAUAUAAAAACAAUACGAAACAACAAAGUAAAAAAAGGCUAAAUUAAGUGCUAGAGUCAAUUAGAGGUUAUAUUAUAGAAUGCUUAAAGUAGGGCCAACAUCCACAGAGAUUAAGCAGAAUAUUAAGGGCGAAGGCUUUUUCUCCACUACGGACAAUAUACAACUGACGCUGAGAAACGAAGGGGAGGAUAGGAAAUAGGAUUAGAUACCCAGAAUACCCCUCUCUGUCAACGAUGAAUGGUAAUUUCUAGUAAGUUUAAAUUAAACCAAUAUUAGUUUUAAUGUUAACACGUUAACCAUUCCGCCUUGUGAGUACGAUUGCAAAAUUGAAAACAAAAAAAUUAGUCGGUUUCGGAGCGAACGAAGUGAAGCAUGUAUAG
rnacentral:rRNA from 1 species